UGACUCAAAAGAUAAUUCAAAAUUUUACGUAUAGUGCUUGCCACCGUACUGUGGCCUUUCUCGUUCCAAGUUUUUACUCUAUGUCCACCGAAGAUUUUCAACAUAAAUACACAAGAUAUAUAACAACGUAUCGAACAAUAUGUAUAUAUGAUCGAAGCGUUUUGUAACCUCCGGUUCAUAGUGUUUUUAGACUUUGUACACCACUGGCUGAGGUUAGGGGAAAUCUGCGCUUCAUCGAACCUAAUUAGUUAACCUCGCCAGUCGAAGAGCCAAAGAGCUCGUUAGGAAUUGUGCUAGAUUUACGAUAGAUUUUGGACGAUACAAUAGUUAAUGGUGUCUGCUUUAUGCAUGGGCGAAAUCGUUAGGACGCAGUUAGGACGAUCAAGGGAAAAAUCAUGAAAAUAGACGAACUGUGGUAUUUAUGCGCAUAGCCUAUUAACUGUUGCUUCGUGUGUGAUAAACGUGUGUCAUUUUGUCUGUUUGAAAAUCAUUUCCGUGCAAAGACUAUCGUGUUUAUUGUUAGUUUGGCGAAACUUUAAACGGAUUUAUAAGACACAUACGCAAAACAUAUGCUUUAUGACCCCAUAGGCCAGGAGCUUAGGAUGCACGAUUCUUCGCGGACUAUUUUGGUUAGAGAGAGAGUUUAUCCACCGAAUAACCGGUGACUUUGUAGAACGAUUCAUAAAAUCGUUAAUCCCUAUACGUAAACAAAAAUGUAUGGCUUCUCCUACGAUUAUCAUUACCACGGCAAAGGGCAUCAUCAAUUUUGUGUUUCCUUUUUUUUAAGACUAACGCUGUUCUCUCCCUAGGGGAAUGCGCUACAUCGAGUCUUGGCCAUAACGAUGCAUCGCUUUGUUCCUAUAUCUCUACGAUGACAAGGACUUUCCGACACAGAAACGUGUGAAUAUCUUGUACUGCUUUCGAAUACACCGUUUGUAUGUUUCGCAAUAGAAUAUUAUGCUGUCGUUCCUCGAACCUUCCAAUCUGCUAAAUUGUAUUCGAAGACAGAGAUGUUUCACGUCCCGAGUGAAGGGCUAUGUGAGCUUCUAGUAAAAUGCUCAUCUGACCGUUCCACUAAAAGCGGUUCUAGGCCAACGCCUCGAAAAGAAUCAACAACAAAAUUACACCUUUCAUAUUUUUAGAUAAGAAAAAGUUUACUUUUAAGGAUAUGUAUGCAGCCGAAACCAUUGUAACCUAAAAAGAGUAACUGUAAAUGGCAACAGAUGGCGAUAAGCUGUUACCUACAGUUGCCAAACGUUGCUUAGUCAAGGUAGCGAACAGGUUAACUGGUUACACGCUAGAAUGAAAGAGCACAACUCAUCAGUGAGCGCAAUGUUACGCCAACUGUGGGUUAAGGCCGUAAUGGCGGUACUGGAGCCCUAACGGAGUAAAUCGACAUGAUGCAGUAGAACCACAGAGCUGACUAAUUAAUCCUAGAGUGAACGGAUGCGGAUUUACCUCUCAGUGAUCAAAGAAUUAUGUACGAUCCGAUCUGAUAUAGCCUUCAGCCGGUAAGUGCCAAAAGUGACUGUAAACCGUCGACUGAAAGAUAGAGAAGAGAUACUAUGCGACGUACAACGUAAACCUGAUAGUCAUGCCAACAAGCAACGCCAGGCUAAGUUCAUUGCUAAAAUGCAAGGAUGCUCGCCAUAAGCUGAUUCCACUUGUGGUACUAGAAUGAACGCGACCGAGCAUGUACGCGGCGAAGAGACCCCGGCGCACAAGAGAACACUGCAGCUUUAGAGCCUGUGGCGCCAAAAUUUGAAAAUCGCCAUAUAUGUGUUAGCAAACCGUCGGCUAAGUUUGUCGAUCUGAUUCACACGGCUGCUAGCAGCGGAUCAUGAAAACAUAGGCAGCCUGGAUUCGAAUCUGGAUGACAAGGAGCUUUGAAGGAGGAAUAAAAUAAAUACAUAAGCAAUAAGAGAGGCGGUGAGGUUAUACCGGGGCCUAUCUUAAGCGAGACAGCUGAAAGUAAACUACGGAAAAGCUUUUUAAAGCGUUAGUACAAUUUGUUUAACUUAUCUUUUUUGUGAAAUCCAAAAUCGAUCUCUAUCUAUAUUAAAAUUUUACACAUAUAACCAUGGACAUAAAAGAUUGCCAACUAAAAAAAUGACCAGUGUAUACUUCAGACGCAACCAACUGCCCAACUAUGCGUUUACGUGUGUUUCAAAUUUAAAGAAAUAUACAUUUCCCCUGCGUAGUUUUGGCAUACGAAACCAAUUUCACUAGCAGGCCUCUAUGAAAACUGGCUAGAAAGUAACUCCCAAGUAAUACUAUGCAUAGAGAAAAGUUAAGGGUUAGAGCCUGGAGAGAUUUACGUCAUUGGUUAGUGUCUAGCGCAGAACAAACGCCAUGAUGAAUGAAAAGUUUGUGGGAAAAAUAUACUUGUGCAUGAAGAGAGCGUCUGUGUUAGGCAACGCUUAGCUUUAUACAUUCGGCAGCACUAUUAGAGGACGCGUUCUCGGUCAUCUCGAUAUCUUCAUAAGUGGCGAUUCGUAUUAGCCGGGGUGCUCAAAACGUAAGUAGCCACUUACUAUACGAUAUUUGCCAGGACACAAGUAACGACGGUUAGACAAACAAACACUUAAGGAUAGCUUUAGAUCUUUCCUCAUCCAGGAAAACUAGGAGGAAGCGCAGACUAUCGCUUUCACAACUUUCAUAGCAGCAUUCUAAAGCGUUAGAAAACGUGGGCUCAGCGGAUAAUGAUUCUCGGCUAAAAAAAAAAACUGGGCAGCGAGCCUAAACAACGCCGGGUCUUUUUAGAAACGUUACCGGUAAUCAUUUUAGAAAAAGUGGGCACAUGUUUUUCAAAUGAUCUUUGUUGCUUGAAGCUUUACCCUAACUGCCCACAUUCUAUCGCAGUCUUUGUCUCUCUAAACGAAUCAAUAGUUCUCGAUUAUUUGCUAUGCCUGUUUAUUCGAAAAACCUAACUUACGUUCGAUAUACUACGAAUAUUUUAGUGGGUUUGUUGGUCUUAUUUCUGCAGUGAUGUGUGACCAUCGGCGCAGUUAUGAUUACUUCGUAUGAACUGCCCGCUCGGCUGAUCGAGAACUUAACAAGGGCCGCAAUUGCACGUUCGUACCCUACCGUUACGAGGGUGAUAAAGAGGAACGUAACAAACGCAAAUGUCAACGCGUCCGAGAACGAAAUGCCAUUAAGCCUGACGGUAGUGAGUUAGCGCCUGGAGGGAGUGUACAGUUUGUUGGCACGACGGGAUCGCCGCCAUUUUGUCAGCCGUUGAAGGAGGUCCGUAGAAGCGGUCCAACAAGGACUGCAAGCUGGCAUCCUGGUUUAGAUAGCUCCAUGGACGCGUGCGAUCUCACCUAUGUAACGUCUCUCAAAUAACCCAAAUAGUUAACAGCAUACGUAUAGAGCUUCACUUUUGGCAGAGCAGAUGAGUAGAUUACUGCUGCUGAUGUCAUAUUAAAGGGGUCGCCAAGUCUCUAGAAGAAAUUAUACCGUUUCACAGAGUGUGCUUCAAAUUCCUAGCGAAUAUCUUGAGCGGUAAUAGAUUUCAGUAGAAAGAAAUAUUUUUUUGGAUGUGACCAUGAGCCCUAUUUCUAAGCACGUCUAUAUUUGUGUCAAGGUUACGUUAAGGACAUCGAUUAAAUAAUAAAUGAUUACGCAAGCUCUGGUCUUUUCUUGUAUGGGGCAAAUUUCAGGCCAAAUGACAACAUAAUGACAACACGUAUAUUAAGACAAUGAUCUAAUCACCAUGAGGGACCUAGAUAUAAUUAUUUAAAAACGUUUACCCAUAACGGGACAUCUAAAGGUAUCACCGUAAAGCUGAUCUUUGUUGUUGUCUAUUUAUGUACAGUUCUUAUUGCCCUAUUGGCUUAUCUAAGCAAUGGACUGUUCAAGCGGCCUUAAAUUUUGCUAC